rnacentral:rRNA from 1 species
CAGCAGUAGCCGCGGGAAUACGUAGGGUGCGAGCGUUAAUCGGAAUUACUGGGCGUAAAGCGUGCGCAGGCGGUUAUAUAAGACAGAUGUGAAAUCCCCGGGCUCAACCUGGGACCUGCAUUCGUGACUGUAUAGCUAGAGUACGGUAGAGGGGGAUGGAAUUCCGCGUGUAGCAGUGAAAUGCGUAGAUAUGCGGAGGAACACCGAUGGCGAAGGCAAUCCCCUGGACCUGUACUGACGCUCAUGCACGAAAGCGUGGGGAGCAAACAGGAUUAGAUACCCGCGUAGUCCCUGUCUCUUAUAC